CCUACGGGGGGCAGCAGUAGGGAAUCUUCCACAAUGGGCGAAAGCCUGAUGGAGCGACGCCGCGUGGGUGAAGAAGGUCUUCGGAUCGUAAAACCCUGUUGUCAGAGAAGAAAGUGCGCGAGAGUAACUGUUCACGUUUCGACGGUAUCUACCCAGAAAGCAACGGCUAACUACGUGCCAGCAGCCGCGGUAAUACGUAGGUGGCAAGCGUUAACCGGAUUUAUUGGGCGUAAAGGGAACGCAGGCGGUCUGUCAAGUCUGGUGUGAAAGCCUUGGGCUGAACGGGGGUAUUGCAUUGGAAACUGGGAGACUUGAGUGCGUGAGAGGAGAGUGGAACUCCAGGUGUAGCAGUGAAAUGCGUAGAUAUAUGGAAGAACACCAGUGGCGAAGGCGACUCUCUGGUCUGUAACUGACGCUGAGGAUCGAAAGCGUGGGUAGCAAACAGGAUUAGAUACCCGUGUAGUC
rnacentral:rRNA from 1 species